GCAGUGGUCGUUCAGUGGUAGAAUUCUCACCUUCCACACGGGAGGCCCAGGUUCAAUUUCAGGCCAGUGCA
rnacentral:tRNA from 1 species